GAAUGCUGACAUAAGUAACGAUAAAGCGGGUGAAAAGCCCGCUCGCCGGAAGACCAAGGGUUCCUGUCCAACGUUAAUCGGGGCAGGGUGAGUCGACCCCUAAGGCGAGGCCGAAAGGCGUAGUCGAUGGGAAACAGGUUAAUAUUCCUGUACUUGGUGUUACUGCGAAGGGGGGACGGAGAAGGCUAUGUUGGCCGGGCGACGGUUGUCCCGGUUUAAGCGUGUAGGCUGGUUUUCCAGGCAAAUCCGGAAAAUCAAGGCUGAGGCGUGAUGACGAGGCACUACGGUGCUGAAGCAACAAAUGCCCUGCUUCCAGGAAAAGCCUCUAAGCAUCAGGUAACAUCAAAUCGUACCCCAAACCGACACAGGUGGUCAGGUAGAGAAUACCAAGGCGCUUGAGAGAACUCGGGUGAAGGAACUAGGCAAAAUGGUGCCGUAACUUCGGGAGAAGGCACGCUGAUAUGUAGGUGAAGCGACUUGCUCGUGGAGCUGAAAUCAGUCGAAGAUACCAGCUGGCUGCAACUGUUUAUUAAAAACACAGCACUGUGCAAACACGAAAGUGGACGUAUACGGUGUGACGCCUGCCCGGUGCCGGAAGGUUAAUUGAUGGGGUUAGCGGUAACGCGAAGCUCUUGAUCGAAGCCCCGGUAAACGGCGGCCGUAACUAUAACGGUCCUAAGGUAGCGAAAUUCCUUGUCGGGUAAGUUCCGACCUGCACGAAUGGCGUAAUGAUGGCCAGGCUGUCUCCACCCGAGACUCAGUGAAAUUGAACUCGCUGUGAAGAUGCAGUGUACCCGCGGCAAGACGGAAAGACCCCGUGAACCUUUACUAUAGCUUGACACUGAACAUUGAGCCUUGAUGUGUAGGAUAGGUGGGAGGCUUUGAAGUGUGGACGCCAGUCUGCAUGGAGCCGACCUUGAAAUACCACCCUUUAAUGUUUGAUGUUCUAACGUUGGCCCCUGAUCGGGGUUGCGGACAGUGUCUGGUGGGUAGUUUGACUGGGGCGGUCUCCUCCUAAAGAGUAACGGAGGAGCACGAAGGUUGGCUAAUCCUGGUCGGACAUCAGGAGGUUAGUGCAAUGGCAUAAGCCAGCUUGACUGCGAGCGUGACGGCGCGAGCAGGUGCGAAAGCAGGUCAUAGUGAUCCGGUGGUUCUGAAUGGAAGGGCCAUCGCUCAACGGAUAAAAGGUACUCCGGGGAUAACAGGCUGAUACCGCCCAAGAGUUCAUAUCGACGGCGGUGUUUGGCACCUCGAUGUCGGCUCAUCACAUCCUGGGGCUGAAGUAGGUCCCAAGGGUAUGGCUGUUCGCCAUUUAAAGUGGUACGCGAGCUGGGUUUAGAACGUCGUGAGACAGUUCGGUCCCUAUCUGCCGUGGGCGCUGGAGAACUGAGGGGGGCUGCUCCUAGUACGAGAGGACCGGAGUGGACGCAUCACUGGUGUUCGGGUUGUCAUGCCAAUGGCACUGCCCGGUAGCUAAAUGCGGAAGAGAUAAGUGCUGAAAGCAUCUAAGCACGAAACUUGCCCCGAGAUGAGUUCUCCCUGACUCCUUGAGA
rnacentral:rRNA from 1 species